GCGGCGGCACUCGGGCAGCCGGUAGGGCCGCGGCCGGACGGAGGGCAGCCCCGGUGCGGCUGCUGGGCGGCGCGGCGGCCGCUCCUCCUCCUGCAGCCGCCAUCCAGCGAGCCGCGGCGGCGGUACCGAGCGGUAAGAGGAGCCCUGCUUUCCGCCUCUCCCCUGUCCUGAGCGAAGCCUUUGUCUCAGAUCCCUCUGGUUUCGCUGCUGGCUUGCUGGAUUUGUGCUUUUUUCCCUCCUUCGCGCAGACAGUCCCCCCGUAGCCGCUUCUCCCCGCCGGCGCCCGUCUGCUGCCCGCAACCCGCAGCCAAAGGGCCGGCGGAGCCGUGCGAGGCGGAGCGGCGUCUCGGAGCGCCUCGGAGCGGCGGACAUCGCGGCAGAAAGCUGUUGUCCGGUGGCGGAGGGUAGGGCUGGGCAGCGUUCCUGCUGAGCAUUCGCGCCCCCCCCUCCCCGUCCUGUCUAAGGGAAGCAUCCCUAUUCGCUCCCCCCUUUUUUGGCGCUUCUCGACUCUUUGUAUGGAAAUCACGAUCUGGCUUGGUGGAAGAAAUCUCCCUUUUCCUCCCAUAGUGGCUCCAGAGUUAUGUGCUGAAUUUCAAGGGGUUAUAAGUGUCAUUCAGACACCAGUCUUCUGAGAUGGGAAAGACCAAUGAUGAAAAGACCAGUGAUGUUUCUUCACUCCUUUCAGAAGAUAUUAACUGCAAGGUCUUUCCUGUCUUGCAAGAGUUUGGGCGUUGCAGAGAACAACAGGUCCUUCAGCAAGACUCACAGGUAGCUGUGGAGGGAGAUUUAACAUCAAAAAAUUCACUGCAUCUUCAAAUGCUUAAAGUAUAAUGUGUUUGAAUGAAUGGUUGUUCCCUUGGAACUGAAAAUGCCCCUGAACUAAUCCACCGAGACAAAAAGCAAGAUAUAUUUCAUUGAAGCACUUCUGUAGUCCAGCUGAGUAUUUACAGCAUGUUUUUUGGAGGAAGGAUGAAAAAGGAGUCAGACUGAGUGAGAAAAUAACUGUUCUUUCUGUUCUGCACUUGUGAAACUGUUUAAUGUUUGGAACCUUUCUAUAGCUGUGCUGAAGAGUUCCUGCCAUUAAGAAAUCUUACUGACACUUUACUUUCCUUGUCAAAGUAUGUUGAACUUUGAAGGAUGAAGAACAUUUCCUAUUGCCUGUAUUCUUGGGGAUGCAUUGCUUGGAACCACCACAGCUGUAUCAGACCUCCAUUGGAAGAUACUGCUGAAAUACUGAAGUUUGAGCAGAGUGGAUUUGAACCAAACACUGGGAAAGGAUCAGAAUGAGAGACUUAGCAGUGAUUCUGUUUCUCUUAUUGCUGGAGGUCUUGUCCAACUGAGUAGACUUUGUAUAGAGGUCUUAUGAGAAGGGGCUAGUAUACACGAGUCCUUUCUAGACCUACAUAUAACUAGUGCAUUAUUAAGAAGAUGCUCAUAUUGGAGACAGACUAAGCCUUCAGUUCUUUAAAACAGUUUCACAGUGAAAUAGGCACUAUCAGGGAACUGCAUCAUUUCCUUCCCCUCCCCUAAAUACCUGUCUUCAGUAUAGACGUUCAGGAUUCAUCUUCCUUUUAAAUCUUUUGUAGUUUCACUCUAUUGACAUGUGAAAACAGUUAAAUCCAGGAGGCCUUCGUUGUGGUGGGAUAAUUCCUCUGAAAACUGUGUUGUCUGUAAGAAGAACUUGGCCUUUGUCAUUUCUAUGUGCAAUUCUUUCUUCCCUCUGUGUCCUGCUAAUACACAAAUGAUCUUAUGAUCAGUGUCUCAGGCUGGGAGGCAGAUACAGUUUUAAGUGUAUGUCCAUAGAAUAGGGUUAAAAUUACUAAAGUUAUUUCUACAGAUCUGCUUUUAUUUAGAUGGUAAAGCCAUUAGCAAAGUGAUGCAUUUCAGAUAUCUAUGCAGAGCUGCUGGAAUAUUGACGUCCAGGCCUGGGUGGAGCAUUAACAAAUUAAUUUAAAAUAAUGAUGUAUUUUAGUAUAGCGUAACAAACAUAAGAUAACCCAAGGUAACAUAAAGAAAUGUAAAAGAACAUAACAAAAUAAAACAUAAGGUAAGGUAACAUAAUGUAACACAACACAACAAUAAUAUACAGGCCUUCUAUUUAUCAAGAAAUGUUAUAUUUUAAUUGAUGAUGUCUGAGGCUUAAAUCCUACUUACACAAUAAUAUACUUUUAAGAAUAGUUUAUGCAUGAUGAAGAGUAAGUCUAUUAUUGUUUCCAAUUAGUAUCUGUAGCAAGUUAUUUUUGCACAGCAUGAAAAUAACUUUUGAAUAGUUUCCGAUAGCUUUCUUCUCAUUUUUAGAGUGAAAAAGACAGAGUUUUAAUUAAACACGAAAUUUGGCCAGCAAUUGCUUAGUCAUUAAUCUGGUCUGGUGCUUUCUGCUAUUUAUAUAGAAAAUGGGUUUGUACAAUUAUGAAAUUCAUUCCUAAUAAAUGACCGAUACCAAUGUAGGUUUAAUAGACUCAAGCCUCUAAUGCACAGAAAGCACUCAAUGGCUUUUGAAUUAAUUGUAUUCUUCAUGACAUUUUGGUAAUUUCCAAUAUGAUAACAGAUGAGCAUCCUAACCCUGUGAUUUUUAUGCUUAUCCCAAUAGACUUUUUUCAUAGGCCAAUAUAAAUCAGGUUAUUUCUGUCUCAGAUAAAAAUAGUACAAUGUGGGGAAAUAAAUAUUAUCUCAAACAAUUUAUGUCCUGCUGAAAAUUCUUUAUGAAAUAUAAAGAUGAAGCCAGCAAGAUUUAAUAGUUAAUCGGUAAGAUUCUGAAUGAGGAAAACCACAUUCCCAAGAGGAUUCUAGCAUUCUUUACUUAUAUAAGGACAUCCUCAUACUACAGCCUCUCCCACGGCUUUGGAAGCAUUUUCUCAGACCAUGGAUGUCAACGUAUAUUAAUUUAGUAUUUUUUCUAUUUAAUAUAUAGCCAGGGCUUAUGAAAGUUUAGCAGACCCAUGGAGAAGAACAUGCAUAUUAAUCAUCUGGACUCUAUGCUCAAUAUAUAAGUUGCUUCCAUUACCUGAAAAUAGCUCUAAUAAAUCCAGCUCAGCAUUUUAGUAUGGCACAGCAUUCAUACUGUACUUUUAUCCUAAACAGUCUGAGCUUUCUUGAAUAGAUUUCGUGUUCAGUCAUCAUGGCAUAGUCUCACUCAAAAUUAUCUGAAAAUUCUAGUGUAGCCUCAAUUAGUAUUUUAAAAUGCAACAAACAAGGAAUGAAGCAUAUCCAUUUCUGACUUUUAUACAUCUGAUUCUAAAUUUACCUUCUGUGCUUUGUUUGCAACAUGUGGUAGUUUUCUCCAUCUUCUAUUCCUUGUAGGAUUAUGGAAGCAGCUUUCAAAGGGUUGUUCUAUUUAAAAUUUCUAGUGCAAGAAAAAUUCUGUCCAAAUAUAGAGCACCCUAAUGUUUUGGAGAAAGGUGUUACAAAUUACUUAAUGAUGCCUUGAGAUCUGAACAGGUAUUAUCUCACCAUUGGUACAAUUCGAAUUUUCCCUCAAACACAUACAUACAUGUGCAGAUUUAAUGACUGCAUCCUAUCUAAGUUAAUAUGUAAACUAGUUCCAAACAUCUUGGAAAUUGAAGCUCAGGGGAUCCCUGCCCAUGCUGAUAGCACAGUAGAAUCAAAAUCCUCUUCAUCCAAUACAGGAGAUACACUGAGAUUCCUUAGAGACUUGGAGACAUUUUUUUUUCCUUUACCAAAAAAAAAACUAAUUAACAAAAAGGUGAAGGGAUGUUUUUGAGUGUAUGCCAGUUCUUAUAUAUGAGGUUAAUAAUAUACUUUGUAAAAUUAAGCACAACUCUCCUAACUAUCUGUAACUGAUACACUUUUAUCCUUGAAUUCUUACAGGGAAGACCAGACUUUCAUCUCCAAGGGAAAUGUUUUAAAUAAAUGUACCUUUUCUUUUCAUUCUUUCUUUUCUCUUUUUAUUUUUUUCCCCAUAGGUAAAAAAAAAAAAAAAAAAAAAAUUGAGAAACCCUGAAUGGAUACAUUCACUUCAUCUUAAAGCUGAACAUUGCAUAUCCAUGUUUUGACUUGAUGGAACUUCUCAAAAGAAAAACAACAACCACACAAACAAGGAGCCAACAAAGAACAAAUCCAUCCAAACCUCACAGUUAAUGUUUGUCCCUAGAUCUUGUUCAUCUUUCAGAUUACUUUACAUUAAGGUUUUCAUCUGGCUGCGAAGGUCAUCAGGUCAAUGAACUACAUUUGCGUUCUACUGUAAACUUCUUUAAAGGAGAACCUCUAGUACAGAACUUGUAGAUUGGGAGCCUGUGGACCAUUGAUGUUUUUCCUCCAGCCUUCCAGUAACUUCCUGUUUUUCCCAAAGUGACUAAGUGUAUGGAAAGGAUUUCUGCUGGAGAUUUCACUGAGAGACUAAGUAGUGUUUUGUCUCUUGUGUAAGAAAAGAGCCAGAGCUACCAGUUCUUUAAUAGGGGUGUUUAAAGACUAACAGUACUUUCUCACUUAUUUUCUGUCAGCUGCUCCUGUACAAACUAUGCUUUUGUCCACUAAUUACCUCAGCAAAUAAUUUCUCAUGCUCAGUGUGUCAUUAUUUUGGUCAAUUUUAAGGAUUUCAGACUGUUGCAGGGAAAACUUGCUCAAUUCAUCUGGUUUAACUAAAUCAGAAUAGAAGUGGUUUAUUGAUUUAGUAGAGACACACCAUUAACCAGCAACCAGGGAACUAUGCAACUAUGAUUACUAUCAGCAAUAGAACAGAUAAACAACAAUUCUAGACACAUUAAUGAAUAACUGCAGAGUUCCCAACACCCUCCCAUAACUGAUACCCACAGUUCCAAUUCCCCCACAAAUACACAGACCCAUCAUCACCUCCCUGGCUGUGUGUCUUUCCAGCAUGUAUCUUUUGUCCUGAGACUAUGGGUUCCUGGUUUUUCACACCCUUACAGAGCAGGAAGGAUGCUCUGCCUGGCCAGGGCAGGGCUAAUGAUGGCAGUGGGAACACAUCUGCCAGUGUCAAGUUUGACUUCUACUAUUUCUGCUUCAGUAUCUCUCCUGUAUAUUACAAAUAUUCAUGUUUCAUUUCUAAAGAUAUGCAAGCUGAUGCCAUCUAUGUAUCAAAAGUUUCUUUGCAAUUUCAUGGCUAUUUUUUGAACUGUUUUUCUUCCUCUUCAUUUGGUCAGCCUGGGAGCAAGGCACUCUCAAGGUAGCUCAGUAUUUCUGACACAAGGACUACUGAUGUUUGUGUGCUGAUGGCCAAACUGAUGGAGUUGCACUGACAGUAGUCCAGAAACAGAAAUACAGAAUAGCUGAGAUUGCAGUGCAUCUCUGAAGACUUUCUAGUCAAAUUCCCUUGUUCAAACGGGGUCAAGGUCUGUUUGUCCAAGACUGCCCAGUUAUGUUUAGAACAUCUUCAAAGGUGGAAGCUGCAUAAUGUUUCUGGGCAAUUUGUUCCAGUACGAUCACUUGUACAGUAAAAAAGAUGUUUUCUUAUGUUCAGACAGAUUUUCAUGUAUUUCAGUGUACCCAUCACUACCUGUCCUAUUGUGGGACAACAGUGAGAAAAAGCUAGCUCAAAUUUCUUUAUAUUCUCCAUGAUAGGAUCUCCCCUGAGCCUUCUUUUCUCCAUUCUGAACAAUCCUAGCUCUCUCAGCCUUUCCUCAUGUGAAACGUGCUUUGGUUUUUUAAUCACUUGAGCACUAAUGAAGGGAAUCAAACAACCAGAAAUCCACUAUAAAAUUUGUUACUGGUGGCCAGUUAUCUAUGAAUUAUAUGGAUUAUUUUUUUUUUCUUUUUAAAAGGCUGAAUUUGAUUUCUAGCUCCUAUAAACUGUCUUUUCAUUUAAGUGAUGAUGUAUCAACAGUGAAGAAAGAACAAAUAAUAUUCAGCAUACCUAACUACAAGGGCUGGAUCACAGAGGAGGUAUAGUCUGCAGUCUGCUGUGCACUAUCAAUCAGAUCUGGUUCACUAAUGGUUCAGAUCAUGUACGGUGUCAUUACUGGUCAUGACUUCUCACUGAUCCAUGCAUCUAGAUUUCUUUAAUUAGAUACCAAGCUUGUAUGUAUCAUUCAAAACUCCAGUGCCAGAUUAUCCUGGGGGAGAGCAGUUGAUCGUGGAGGUCAGGCAGGUUUCCUGAUCUGGAGAAACACCAGGCUAACAGAGAGAGUUGCCACCAGCCAGCUGUUCUUGUGAGCAUCUUGUUUUGAUAGCAUAUGUCAAAUAUCUAAUUAACAUUUUGGAAAAUACUUUCUGUUCCAGAUCACAUGAGAUGACCAGUGAGACAUUGGAGUACAAUAAAUGAUGCCUUUCCUGAUUGUAUCAUACCUGGGGAAAAAAAAAUCUGAAUAAGAAGUUUGUUAAGCCCCCAUGACAGUGCAUAGUGUAUGUCCUGGAAGGCUCAGAUCUGUUAUAAAAGUCUUGUUUUUUUCAGGAAAUUGAAGUUUUUAUACUUAGUGAGGUUUUCUACUCUUAACAACUCCACAACAGAGGGGCUCCGCUGGGAGACCAUCUCCAAGGCCACUACACCAAACACCCACCAAUACAUUUAGCUCUUAGGAUCCCCCUCCAGAAAUACAGGUGGGUUCUGACCCUUUAUAAAGCAAUGGCAUUAGAGUACAAUUUGAAACAAUGCCAACUAGUGCCUUAUAUACCUGUGGUUCUGAUGCGCCAGGCUAUCAAAUCCACAUAGUCCAAUGAACCAAAUUGUCCCUUUCCUCCACCUAGCUGGAGGCAGGCCCCUCUAGUUUAGCUUAUUGUAUUUGUUACUCACAUCUCAUGAAUGUGAACCAAAAGGUUUGUUACCAAAUUUAGAAAUAAGAUCAGACCAUCUAUUCUGUUUAGAGAACUGCCCACUAGAUAUGGGAGCACCCACUUUCCCAGAAGAACACUUUCUUUUUUUUUCCUUGCAACUUACAUAUCCACAUUUCUAGAGUUGAGGUGGACUUUCCAUGCCACGUCCUCAUCUUGUUCUCUCUGUGAACCUCUUAGGAAAGUAUCUCCAUAGCUGAAACACAGAGAGCAAGUGAGAUUUUCUUCAUAUUGUCAGCAUCGGUCAGCCAAUUCAUCCACCAUUUGUUCCUCUCCAGCUUUCCAAGCUAGGUCAUGACUGCCAGAGAGCUGGCGUAUAACGAUAGUGAACUCUAUACACUAUCAAUACACUAUAUUAUACU
ensembl:lncRNA